rnacentral:piRNA from 1 species
UAAAGUUGUCCUAGGAAGAGAUCAGGU